rnacentral:rRNA from 1 species
CGCUGUAAACGAUGGGCACUAGGUGUGGGAGGUGUCGACUCCUCCCGUGCCGAAGCUAACGCAUUAAGUGCCCCGCCUGGAGAGUACGGCCGCAAGGCUAAAACUCAAAGGAAUUGACGGGGACCCGCACAAGCAGCGGAGCAUGUGGUUCAAUUCGACGCAACGCGAAGAACCUUACCUGGGCUUGACAUGUAGGUGACAGCCGUGGAAACACGGUCUCCCUUCGGGGCACCUUCACAGGUGGUGCAUGGCUGUCGUCAGCUCGUGCCGUGAGGUGUUGGGUUAAGUCCCGCAACGAGCGCAACCCCCGCCCCAUGUUGCCAGCGGUUCGGCCGGGGACUCAUGGGGGACUGCCGGUGACAAACCGGAGGAAGGUGGGGAUGACGUCAAGUCAUCAUGCCCCUUAUGCCCAGGGCUACACACGUGCUACAUUGGCCGCCACAGAGGGUUGCGAUACCGCGAGGUGGAGCGAAUCCCAAAAAGGCGGUCUCGGUUCGGAUUGGAGGCUGAAACUCGCCUCCAUGAAGGUGGAGUUGCUAGUAAUCGCGGAUCAGCAAUGCCGCGGUGAAUACGUUCCCGGGUCUUGUACACACCGCCCGUCACACCACGAAAGUCGGCAACACCCGAAGCCGGUGGCCUAACCCGCAAGGGAGGGAGCCGUCGAAGGUGGGGCCGGCGAUUGGGGUGAAGUCGUAACAAGGUAGCCGUACCGGAAGGUGCGGCUGGAU